AUGGGCUGCAAAAAGACCAAGGCAGAAGCUACAUCUGUUCUGAGUUCAGACAGACUAAGCAGUCUACCCCCAAAGAUAAAAGGCAACAUCCUCUCCCGUUUGAAUGUCAGAGAAGCUGUUAGGACUAGCACCUUAUCGAGUACAUGGAGGGAUGCAUGGACAAAUAUGCCAAAAAUAUCUUUGCGUGAUAGAAAUUUUACGCGAACCAGGUUUGUUAAGUUGGUCGAUAUGGUGCUAGCACUCCACAAGGGAACCAUAGAAGAGUUUGAUAUAUCAGGUGAAAAAAGUUACCACGAUGAGUUCGCUAGGUGGAUGCUCAUGCUGUCAAGGAGAUCACCAAGGUCAGUUACAAUCAAGUUGAACUCAGGGCCAAGGUAUAAGAUUUCCUCACGCGUCUUUUCCAUCGGUGAUUUGAAGUUUCUGCAACUGGAAAACUGCAUCAUCAGCUUGCCCCGGGCAUUCCAAGGCUUCAAGAGCCUAACUUACCUGAGCCUAAACAAUUUCUCAUCCACAGACAGGGAUAUCCAAAAUCUGAUCUCAUUCUGCCCCGUACUUACUGAUUUGAUAUUAACUACUUUUGAGGGCAUCAACCAACUAAACAUUCACGCUCCUAAGCUAGAAUAUCUUAGUGUUUAUGGGGACUUUGAAGACAUUAAUUUGGAGGCCCCUAAUCUGAAGGUGGCCAUCCUUUAUCUAGAUCACCAAGCUAAAGCAUAUCAAUCUGUUCCAAUUGCACAUGACAAGGAAAACCAUAUCAAGAAGUCAUUGGGAAGCCUAAGUGAGAUCAAAAUACUUGGAAUCACUGGUAGUUUCAUGAAGUAUCUAUCAAAAGGGCGUAUACUUACAAAGCUCCCUACUGUGUUUACACGCCUCGAGAAUAUUUAUCUUAAUAUAUGCUUUUGGGACCGGAGGCAAGUCUUUGCUGCUUAUUCAUUAUUUCAGAAUGCCCCUAACUUGAAGAAGCUUGCGGUGUGGAGUUACCCUUCAAGCACAUGGGAUCAGUGUCAGGCGAGGAUUCUAGAGCAUACGCUGCAAAUGCAAAUGGACCAUCUCGUGACGGCCAGUGUUGGAUGCUUCCGGGGUCUUGACAACGAAGUCGAUUUCGUGGCAAAGUUACUGAGUUGGGCACCUGCUCUGGAAGAAGUGAAGAUAGAAUGGAAGGGCGAAACAGACUGCAUCAUGGUUCUUGCCAAGCUAUUAGCUCUGCCGAGAGUGUCUGCCAGGGCCAAGGUCAUUGUUUCAUUUUGA
rnacentral:rRNA from 1 species